AAUCUCUCAUAACCUUGCCGCCAAAGCUCCGAUUCACUGAAUCAAAAUUCCCUCUGCUACAAAGCACCUGUCAUCUAUCAGAGCAGCUGAUGGAUACGUUUACGUUACGUAAAGCUUGAGAUGUUUUUUUUAAUUGUUGGUCAGAAGGCUAACUCUAAAAUGGUUCGUUCAUUCGGCCAAGAUCGAAAAAACAUUUCGAAAAUCGAGCCGCUGAAGAGAAACGCCGCCGGACUCCAGCUGCUCGCAAUGAGGACGAUACUGACUGACCAAUCUGACUCCGAGGCCAAAACGACUUACACACGAUGUUUUGAACAACCAUUCAAACGCUUCAGCUACGCUCUGCAGUCCAGCUGGAGGAGUGACACAAGGAAACAUCUGACCAACAAUCCUUCUGUAGAUAUGUUGUCAAGUAAUGAGGAAAAGGAAACCAGAAAUGAGCUGGACACCCAAUAUGAAGAUCUUUUUUCAUUUGCUGACACAGAACUCAUCAAGCGAAUGUAAAGACAUUAUUGGGAGACAUUGAUUGGCAAUUAAAAUGUACAUGCAUUUUAUGUAAAUAUUCUGCUAUGCUGUUAUGAAAUCGAAUUAAUUUACAUUACAAGCUAUCAUGGCCACAUAAAUAUCAACAACUGUA
rnacentral:lncRNA from 1 species